rnacentral:misc_RNA from 1 species
GAUGAAGAACGCAGCGAAAUGCGAUAAGUAAUGUGAAUUGCAGAAUUCAGUGAAUCAUCGAAUCUUUGAACGCACAUUGCGCCCCCUGGUAUUCCGGGGGGCAUGACUGUCCGAGCGUCAUUACAACCCUCAAGCUCAGCUUGGUGUUGGGCCCCGCCGCCCCGGCGGGCCCUAAAGUCAGUGGCGGUGCCGUCCGGCUCCGAGCGUAGUAAUUCUUCUCGCUCUGGAGGUCCGGUCGUGUGCUCGCCAGCAACCCCCAAUUUUUUUCAGGUUGACCUCGGAUCAGGUAGGGAUACCCGCUGAACUUAAGCAUAUCAAUAAGCGGAGGA